GGAGGGUAUAGCUCAGUGGUAGAGUGCGUGCUUAGCAUGCAUGAGGUCCUGGGUUCGAUUCCCCAGUACCUCCA
rnacentral:tRNA from 1 species